rnacentral:rRNA from 1 species
UACGUAGGUGGCAAGCGUUGUCCGGAUUUAUUGGGCGUAAAGCGAGCGCAGGCGGUUCCUUAAGUCUGAUGUGAAAGCCCACGGCUCAACCGUGGAAGGUCAUUGGAAACUGGGGAACUUGAGUGCAGAAGAGGAGAGUGGAAUUCCAUGUGUAGCGGUGAAAUGCGUAGAUAUAUGGAGGAACACCAGUGGCGAAGUCGACUCUCUGGUCUGUAACUGACGCUGAGGCUCGAAAGCGUGGGGAGCAAACAGGAUUAGA